AGCGGCGGACGGGUUAGUAACGCGUGGGAAUAUGCCCAAAGGUACGGAAUAGCCUCUGGAAACGGAGAGUAAUACCGUAUGUGCCCUUCGGGGGAAAGAUUUAUCGCCUUUGGAUUAGCCCGCGUUGGAUUAGGUAGUUGGUGGGGUAAUGGCCUACCAAGCCUACGAUCCAUAGCUGGUUUGAGAGGAUGAUCAGCAACACUGGGACUGAGACACGGCCCAGACUCCUACGGGAGGCAGCAGUAGGGAAUCUUAGACAAUGGGCGAAAGCCUGAUCUAGCCAUGCCGCGUGAGUGAAGAAGGCCCUAGGGUCGUAAAGCUCUUUCGCCAGGGAUGAUAAUGACAGUACCUGGUAAAGAAACCCCGGCUAACUCCGUGCCAGCAGCCGCGGUAAUACGGAGGGGGUUAGCGUUGUUCGGAAUUACUGGGCGUAAAGCGUACGUAGGCGGAUUAGUCAGUCAGAGGUGAAAUCCCAGGGCUCAACCCUGGAACUGCCUUUGAUACUGCUAGUCUUGAGUUCGAGAGAGGUGAGUGGAAUUCCAAGUGUAGAGGUGAAAUUCGUAGAUAUUUGGAGGAACACCAGUGGCGACGCGGCUCACUGGCUCGAUACUGACGCUGAGUACGAAGUGUGGGGAGCAAACAGGAUUAGAUACCCUUGUAGUUCACACGUA
rnacentral:rRNA from 1 species